CCCUUAGAGUUUGAUCCUGGCUCAGGACGAACGCUGGCGGCGCGCCUAACACAUGCAAGUCGAACGAGCGAGAGAGAGCUUGCUUUCUCAGGCGAGUGGCGAACGGGUGAGUAACGCGUGAGGAACCUGCCUCAAAGAGGGGGACAACAGUUGGAAACGACUGCUAAUACCGCAUAAGCCCACGACCCGGCAUCGGGUAGAGGGAAAAGGAGCAAUCCGCUUUGAGAUGGCCUCGCGUCCGAUUAGCUAGUUGGUGAGGUAAUGGCCCACCAAGGCGACGAUCGGUAGCCGGACUGAGAGGUUGAACGGCCACAUUGGGACUGAGACACGGCCCAGACUCCUACGGGAGGCAGCAGUGGGGAAUAUUGCACAAUGGGGGAAACCCUGAUGCAGCGACGCCGCGUGGAGGAAGAAGGUCUUCGGAUUGUAAACUCCUGUUGUUGAGGAAGAUAAAGACGGACUCAACAAGGAAGGACGGCUA
rnacentral:rRNA from 1 species